ensembl:lncRNA
CACAAACUUCUCUAUGUUACAAUGGAGCUCCAGAAGAUUUACGUCCCGUAUCAAUCAAGACAUGUGAAGAUAGGCAUAUUUAUAUACCCCAGAGGUAAAAGUUCAGACUGGAUGUUUAAAGAUCUCAGCUUAUUCACUCUAAUACUUAAAUCCAAAGAUGAUACUGGAUGCAUUCACUUCUCCCAGCUUGACAAAAUGUACCAUUCUGGUUUGGUGGAUAAUGCUGCUAAAUUGAAGAUGUUAUCUCUCUCAUUCACAUACCUAUAUUUUUCUUCUACCAGGUGUUGCCAUGACACAGGACAGCUCCUAGAAAUUCUACCAGUAGGAAGAGCUAGCAACAAAAUUUAAUAAAAUAUAUGCAGGAAGAUUCCACCUCUUCUGUCAUACCACCACCAUCCUCCUCUGAUGUGGGCCACCAAAGUAAAAUAGAAAACAUUACUUUGGGAGCAGCGGUCAUAGGUAGUUUCAGCUGGUAUAACCUCUCUAUGUUUUCUGCAUUGAAAGAGCAGCUUAGCAGUGCACCAUCCUGGGAAAGCUGGAUGCUAUUGAGAUGUGCUCCAAGUGGCUCUGCCAGCUCCCGCUCACCAUUCAUCAGCCUUUGUGGACAAGGAGAGGAGAGAGUUGGAUCAUUACCCUGCCUCCUGACUGAGUUAUAUUUUCAAUAAGCUUGUUCAAACAAACCACCAACCCAUUUUAGCUGAAACCUUCGAAAUAAAUUCUACCUGAGGCAGAGUCCUGGCACAGAGAAUUUCUGCCUAAUGGGCUGAAGUCUGGCAGAGUUGUAAGUGGCUUCUGAGAGAAACAUUAGGUAUACUUCAAAAUGGGACAGAAAAAAAGCUUAAGCCUAGAGGAAUACAAGAAAAUUAUCAAGUAGGCAGUUCCAAUGCUGUGAAUAUUCAGUAUUGACUGAGAUGACAGGUCUUCU